UGUGGUUUCACAACGGAAUGUCUAGAG
rnacentral:piRNA from 1 species